CAAUUUGCUGAAUUUCAGCUUUUCAAAUAUGAGAGUGAAGUCUCCCCCUAUUUCAUCCAAAUGUUUCCAAUUUGACUUUUUGAAUUGCUCCCCAUUUCUUUUAUAUUUCAUUAAAGAUGAAACUUCAAAAAUUUGAGAUUAAGCAUGAGUUUCAGAUUAUGUAUCGAGGUGUGAAAGGUAUGUGCCAAAUUCUGAAAUUCUAUGUGCCAAAUUCUGAAA
rnacentral:lncRNA from 1 species